rnacentral:misc_RNA from 1 species
CCGAGUUAUACAACUCAUCAACCCCUGUGAACAUACCUAAAUCGUUGCUCGGCGGGAACAGCCCGGCCCCCUGUACCACGGGCCGCCCCCGCCAGAGGACCCCUAACUCCUUGAUUUCCUACUGUGUAUCUUCUGAGUGACACAAGCAAAUAAAAUCA